rnacentral:rRNA from 1 species
ACGAAGGAUCCAAGCGUUAUCCGGAUUCAUUGGGUUUAAAGGGUGCGUAGGCGGUUUUGUAAGUCAGUGGUGAAAUCUCUCAGCUUAACUGAGAAACUGCCAUUGAUACUGCAGAACUAGAGUACAGAUGACGUUGGCGGAAUGUGUCAUGUAGCGGUGAAAUGCAUAGAUAUGACACAGAACACCGAUUGCGAAGGCAGCUGACGAAACUGCAACUGACGCUGAUGCACGAAAGUGCGGGGAUCAAACAGGA